rnacentral:tRNA from 1 species
GGUGGGCCUGCCACAGCGCGCGGUGCCAGGCGCUCAGGACCUCCGGGUAGUGGACCUCGCGCGACGGACGGGCGUCCUGGUCGCCCGCCCACCA